rnacentral:rRNA from 1 species
GAUGAACGCUGGCUACAGGCUUAACACAUGCAAGUCGAGGGGAAACGACGGGGAAGCUUGCUUCCCCGGGCGUCGACCGGCGCACGGGUGAGUAACGCGUAUCCAACCUGCCUCUGACUGAGGGAUAACCCGUCGAAAGUCGGCCUAAUACCUCAUGGUAUCGUCUGCGGGCAUCCAACGACGAUUAAAGAUUUCAUCGGUCAGGGAUGGGGAUGCGUCCGAUUAGCUUGUUGGCGGGGUAACGGCCCACCAAGGCUACGAUCAGUAGGGGUUCUGAGAGGAAGGUCCCCCACAUUGGAACUGAGACACGGUCCAAACUCCUACGGGAGGCAGCAGUGAGGAAUAUUGGUCAAUGGGCGAGAGCCUGAACCAGCCAAGUAGCGUGCAGGAAGACGGCCCUAUGGGUUGUAAACUGCUUUUAUGCGGGGAUAAAGUGAGGGACGUGUCCCUCAUUGCAGGUACCGCAUGAAUAAGGACCGGCUAAUUCCGUG